AUGGGAACGCGAAGAACCUUACCUACUCUUGACAUCCAGAGAACUUAGCAGAGAUGCUUUGGUGCCUUCGGGAACUCUGAGACAGGUGCUGCAUGGCUGUCGUCAGCUCGUGUUGUGAAAUGUUGGGUUAAGUCCCGCAACGAGCGCAACCCUUAUCCUUUGUUGCCAGCGGUCCGGCCGGGAACUCAAAGGAGACUGCCAGUGAUAAACUGGAGGAAGGUGGGGAUGACGUCAAGUCAUCAUGGCCCUUACGAGUAGGGCUACACACGUGCUACAAUGGCGCAUACAAAGAGAAGCGACCUCGCGAGAGCAAGCGGACCUCAUAAAGUGCGUCGUAGUCCGGAUUGGAGUCUGCAACUCGACUCCAUGAAGUCGGAAUCGCUAGUAAUCGUAGAUCAGAAUGCUACGGUGAAUACAUUCCCGGGUCUUGUACACACCG
rnacentral:rRNA from 1 species